UACGGAGGGUGCGAGCGUUGUCCGGAAUCACUGGGCGUAAAGGGCGCGUAGGCGGCCUGAUAAGUAGGGGGUGAAAUCCUGCGGCUUAACCGCAGGGCUGCCUUCUAAACUGUCGGGCUUGAGCACAGUAGAGGCAGGUGGAAUUCCCGGUGUAGCGGUGGAAUGCGUAGAGAUCGGGAAGAACAUCAGUGGCGAAGGCGGCCUGCUGGGCUGUUGCUGACGCUGAGGCGCGACAGCGUGGGGAGCAAACAGGG
rnacentral:rRNA from 1 species